ensembl:lncRNA
GACCUGCUGACCCAAACAGUGCAAAGCUCCAUGGCAACAACAACAAACAGCCUCACAUAUGUUAACAGAGGCUGUUAGAAGCACAGAGUCUUUACAGUCUUUCUCCUGUUUGGACACAGAUCUCUGCACAUCUUCAUCACAGUUACUCACAGACGUGCAGAGUGUGUGGAUAUCAAAGCUAAGUUUCCACCAUGUUUGUAGUCUGUACUGGGACUCAUGGAGCAUCUCUCUAUGAGCACUCAGUGCGUCCCAGUUUAACCAGCAGCCUUCACACCACACAUCACACAGACAUGGAAACUUCAAACCUCAGACCGAAGUCACUGCCAGUCUCUGGCACCAGCGACUGUGCUAACAAACACACAGCAAACAGUGAAGGUUUGGUAGAGAAAGCCGGUUGGGUAGAACCAAGUACGCGGUGGAGGAGGCGGGGUUACAUUACUGGAUGAUUAAACAUGGAACUAUUUUGCUGAUAAUAAUUGAAACGAUUAAAGAAAAUCAAAAAGCUAUUAAUGCAAGAUAAUUCAUAAUUUUAUAAACUGGAACGAUGAAAUUAUAUUGGCUGGAUCUGAUUAUUGGGGGGUCAUGACCCCCGUAACCCCCGUGGAAAUUACGCACCUGGUCCUGAGGUCAAAUCCACCAUCUUUGUUUCAGAGCUUCAUGUUCUCCCGUGUUUGUGUGCGUCCUCUCCGGUACUCCGGCUUCCUCCCACAGUCCAAACACAUGCAGUUAGUGGGGUCAGGUUAGCUGUGAGUGGUUGUGUCUCUGUGUUAUUCCACCUUAAUCAAUGACUUCCUGUUAGCAUGAAGUGCUUCUGUAGGACUGAUGUCAUUUUCAUGGUUGGAUCAUUUAAAUGAAGCUGGACUCAGAUGCAGUAAAUAAGCUGAUUGAUCAUUAAUGAAUAAAGCUGGUCAAACACAUCACGUGGACACAUGUGAUUGUGUGUUGUAGUAUUGAUCCCAAUGCUGGUAUCAGUCCUGGAUCAAUAACACUGGAUGGAUGCGUUCAGCAUGGAGCCCCUGAGCUGUGUUACAGACAAACAUGGAAACUGACAGGUCUGUGUCAUUCACAGUCUGUAACACUUCUAAACAACAGAGGCUGACCCAAGUGCCUCAGAGCCAGGCACGCUCACAUCACAGCUCUCUAAAUAAGCCAG